rnacentral:rRNA from 1 species
CCUACGGGUGGCUGCAGUGAGGAAUAUUGGUCAAUGGGCGCGAGCCUGAACCAGCCAAGUCGCGUGAGGGAAGACGGCCCUACGGGUUGUAAACCUCUUUUGCCGGGGAGCAACGGGCGCCACGUGUGGCGCCACUGAGAGUACCCGGAGAAAAAGCAUCGGCUAACUCCGUGCCAGCAGCCGCGGUAAUACGGAGGAUGCGAGCGUUAUCCGGAUUUAUUGGGUUUAAAGGGUGCGUAGGUGGUUAAUUAAGUCAGCGGUGAAAGUUUGUGGCUCAACCAUAAAAUUGCCGUUGAAACUGGUUGACUUGAGUAUAUUUGAGGUAGGCGGAAUGCGUGGUGUAGCGGUGAAAUGCAUAGAUAUCACUCAGAACUCCGAUUGCGAAGGCAGCUUACUAAACUAUAACUGACACUGAAGCACGAAAGCGUGGGGAUCAAACAGGAUUAGAUACCCUUGUAGUC